rnacentral:rRNA from 1 species
GAUGAACGCUGGCGGCGUGCCUAAUACAUGCAAGUCGAGCGAAAAGACGAGGAGCUUGCUCCUCUGACGUUAGCGGCGGACGGGCGAGUAACACGUGGAUAACCUACCUCUAAGACUGGGAUAACUUCGGGAAACCGGUGAUAAUACCGGAUAAUAUAUUGAACCGCAUGGUUCAAUAGUGAAAGACGGUUUUGCUGUCACUUAUAGAUGGAUCCGCGCCGCAUUAGCUAGUUGGUAAGGUAACGGCUUACCAAGGCGACGAUGCGUAGCCGACCUGAGAGGGUGAUCGGCCACACUGGAACUGAGACACGGUCCAGACUCCUACGGGAGGCAGCAGUAGGGAAUCUUCCGCAAUGGGCGAAAGCUUGACGGAGCAACGCCGCGUGAGUGAUGAAGGUCUUCGGAUCGUAAAACUCUGUUAUUAGGGAAGAACAAAUGUGUAAGUAACUAUGCACGUCUUGACGGUACCUAAUCAGAAAGCCACGGCUAACUACGUG